GGCUCGGUGGUGGACGGUCCACACUCACAUCUGUUAAAAGUUGAACAUUAUUCUGCGAGAGGCGCCCGUUCGACUCGGGCUCGAGCCA